rnacentral:rRNA from 1 species
UACGUAGGGUGCAAGCGUUAAUCGGAUUUACUGGGCGUAAAGCGCACGUAGGCGGAUCGAUCAGUCAGGGGUGAAAUCCCAGGGCUCAACCCUGGAACUGCCUUUGAUACUGUCGAUCUGGAGUAUGGAAGAGGUGAGUGGAAUUCCUAGUGUAGAGGUGAAAUUCGUAGAUAUUAGGAAGAACACCAGUGGCGAAGGCGGCUCACUGGUCCGGUACUGACGCUGAGGUGCGAAAGCGUGGGGAGCAAACAGG